UACGAAGGGGGCUAGCGUUGCUCGGAAUUACUGGGCGUAAAGGGCGCGUAGGCGGCUUGUCACGUCGGGUGUGAAAGCCCGGGGCUUAACCCCGGGGUCUGCAUUCGAUACGGGGCAGGCUAGAGUGUGGUAGGGGAGAUCGGAAUUCCUGGUGUAGCGGUGAAAUGCGCAGAUAUCAGGAGGAACACCGGUGGCGAAGGCGGAUCUCUGGGCCAUUACUGACGCUGAGGAGCGAAAGCGUGGGGAGCGAACAGG
rnacentral:rRNA from 1 species